UACGUAGGGUGCAGGCGUUAAUCGGAAUUACUGGGCGUAAAGCGUGCGCAGGCGGUUUUGUAAGCCAGAUGUGAAAUCCCCGGGCUUAACCUGGGAAUGGCAUUUGGGACUGCAAGGCUGGAGUGCGGCAGAGGAGACUGGAAUUCCCGGUGUAGCAGUGAAAUGCGUAGAUAUCGGGAGGAAUACCGAUGGCGAAGGCAGGUCUCUGGGCUGACACUGACGCUCAUGCACGAAAGCGUGGGGAGCAAACAGG
rnacentral:rRNA from 1 species